UAAUCACUCAAAACUCACAACAAUCAAGCUUAACUCCAUCGUCUACUAGUAUAUUCGAGCUUGUAUCGCGUUGGACAAAGCUUGGUUCGGUGUAUUGUUGCUUGAUUUGGACUCCGGAAGCUAGGGUUUGCACAAUCUCCUUGAUUUCGGUUUGGAUACUUGAGGUGCUAACCCGGGACCAUAGCUUGCAUUGCUUGGCGUGCUUGGAGUGUGGACAUUAUUUUUGAAAGCUAACCGAAGG